rnacentral:rRNA from 1 species
AGUGAACGCUGGCGGUGUGCCUAACACAUGCAAGUCGAACGGCAGCACAGUAAGAGCUUGCUCUUACGGGUGGCGGGUGGCGGACGGGUGAGGUAUACAUCGCAUUCUUCUUUUUCGUGGGGGAUAACGUAGGGCAACUUACGCUAAUACCUCAUACGUCCUACGGGUGAAAUCAGGGGAUCUUGGGGCUUUGGGUGAUUGAAUGAGCCGGGGUCGGGUUGGCUAGGUGGCGGGGUAACGGCCCACCAAGGCGACGCUCCGUAGCUGGUCUGAGAGGAUGAUCAGCCACACUGGAACUGAGACACGGUCCAGACUCCUACGGGAGGCAGCAGUGGGGAAUAUUGGGCAAUGGGCGCAAGCCUGAUCCAGCCAUACCGCGUGGGUGAAGAAGGCCUUCGGGUUGUAAAGCCCUUUUGUUGGGGAAGAACAGCAGCAGGUUGAUCCGCGGCUGUUGUGACGGUACCCAAAGAAUAAGCACCGGCUAACUUCGUG